UGCAGAUUCACUCUUAAGCAAUUCGAGAUGGGGAAACCUCAACCGCAACGCGCAGCCGUUGUAAAGGGGACACAACCUCUUCCUUUCCGUGUCAUAAGCCACCCCGCGACGUCAAGUCCCGAGCCUCAUACCCGUCUGCGAAUCUGAAAGCUCCCAGUUCAUGAACUGUUCCUAUACGCACCAUAAACUCUUACUAAGUAGGACCCAUUGACUUGGUGGUUUUACUUUUGCUAUUUCCGGAGUUUGGACAAGGCUAGGGCAGGAUGGAGGAAACAAGGCCAAGGCCAGCGCAGGGAGAGGCCGAGCUCCAAGGGGCCGGGAACCCACAGCGCUGCCACCACCAGGACUCUUCCCACAACACCCGAAGCCUGGUGAGAAGCUAUUGUUGCAUCUCAACUGAAGACACAGCCAGAGCCACCCCGAGAAGGAGUGAGACCAGACUUGCCUGUGGCAAGCGCGGUGAGGGGCCAGAGGUGUCAGGCCUGGGAGAGACUUCGGAUUCGUGAGUUCCAAACCCCUACUUUCCAGAUGAAGAUACUGAGGCCCAAAGGGGUAAGUGAGCUGACCAAGGUCAUAGCCCGGGUCGGAAUGGAAGCUCCCUGACUCCCCCUGGAACGCGGGGCGCACAGCGCCGCUCUGCCACCCUCCUGCCCAGGAAGUGACCGCUGAGCUCCUGGCAGAGGCCAGCGAUCAAAGGCGGCAAAUUCCUAAACGCCACGGCUCGGGGCAGGCGCGCCCGUGGGCUUGUUCCCUCGACCACCCUGCCCCCACCUCGUCCCCAUUCCCGACUGGGGCCCCACGCGCCUCCAUCACCCUGAGGUUCAGAGAUGUGCAGCAGCUUGUCCAAGGUCACACAGCAAACUGAGUGGAACAUGCGCCUCUACUGCCCUGUUGCCCCUCCCCACCUCCCACCCUGGUCUCUCCAAGCUCCGCCGCUUGCCAGAAUCCUUGGGACCAUGCUUCCAACAAUGCCCCAAGCCGCGGCGCUUGCUGGAGUAUGAAAAAGUUUCAGAGAGAGGAAGGGGCGGAAGAUGCCGCGGCGCAUCCCAGCCCCGGACGGCUGCGGCAGGGUGGAGGCGCGCAGGGGAAGCGAGCUCCGCGCACCGCCGAUGUCCCCAACGCACCCCACCGUGCGCCAGGGGGCUCGCGAGCGCCGCGCGGGGCCCUUCCGUUCAUCCUCACUGCGGCGGCAGCGGGGGGUCCCGCGCGCCCCGCACCCACUUUGCAACGCAAGCCGCGCCAUCCGCCCUCCUCCAAGCCCCUUCCCGCGUUCUCCGCGGCAGGCGCCUCGGCUUCCCCGCUCGCCCCCGGUGCCAGCGCCGAUGCACCGCGGCCUCCGUCGCCUUCUCCCCGUCCGGGCUCCCCGCGAGGAGAAACGGGGCGAGGGGCUUCCGGAUCGUCCAGGCACCUCCCCCGGGACUAACUGGAUAAUCCCGACGCAAGUGGAUCUCCGGAGCCCCGUCCCCCACCGCUGGCUCCGUCCUGCACUUAGUUUAUCCGGCCGUGAGCGCCGAGCCCAGAAGUCGGAGCGUCCCAGUUUGGCGACCCCGCAUCCGCCCGUGCCCCUGGCCCUCGGGGGCCGCCCCGCUCGGACUAGGGGCUGCCCCGCAGGGUGUCCCCGCCCGGCGCUGC